rnacentral:rRNA from 1 species
ACGAACGCUGGCGGUGUGCUUCACACAUGCAAGUCGAACGGAGUAGCAAUACUUAGUGGCGGACGGGUGAGUAACGCGUGGGAAUCUGCCAUCGGGUGGGGGAUAACUAGUCGAAAGAUUAGCUAAUACCGCAUAUGCCGUGAGGUUAAAGGAGUAAUCCGCCUGAUGAUGAGCCUGCGUCCGAUUAGCUAGUUGGUGGGGUAAAGGCCUACCAAGGCUACGAUCGGUAGCUGGUCUGAGAGGAUGAUCAGCCACAAUGGGACUGAGACACGGCCCAUACUCCUACGGGAGGCAGCAGUGGGGAAUUUUACGCAAUGGGGGAAACCCUGACGUAGCGACACCGCGUGAGCGAAGAAGCCCUUUGGGGUGUAAAGCUCUGUCGGCUGGAACGAAAAAAAUGACGGUACCAGCAAAGGAAGCAUCGGCUAACUACGU